CCUACGGGGGGCUGCAGUAAGGAAUAUUGGUCAAUGGAGGAAACUCUGAACCAGCCAUCCCGCGUGAAGGAUGAAGGGGCUCUGCCUUGUAAACUUCUUUUGUCUGGGGCGAAAAAGCUCGAUUUAUCGAGAACUGACGGUACCAGAAGAAUAAGCACCGGCUCACUCCGUGCCAGCAGCCGCGGUAAUACGGAGGGUGCAAGCGUUAUCCGGAAUCACUGGGUUUAAGGGGGCUUAAGGCGUCAGAGGUGAAAUGCUGUGGCUUAACCAUGGAAUUGCCGUUGAUACUGCAGAGCUUGAAUGAGGUUGAGGUUGGCGGAAUGUGACAUGUAGCGGUGAAAUGCUUAGAUACGUCAUGGAACACCGAUUGCGAAGGCAGCUGACUGGACCUAUAUUGACGCUGAGGCACGAAAGCGUGGGUAGCGAACAGGAUUAGAUACCCUGGUAGUC
rnacentral:rRNA from 1 species